GUUUAGUUGAAGUCCCAAGUCCCAUCAACAGCAUAGUCCAAUUAAGUAGAUGUAAGCAUUUAAAGACAACUAACUGUACAGUCUACAACAAUGAGAAAAACAUGAACUGUAUAGAGGGCUAUAAAAGACCAGGAAUAUAUUAAACAAUUCAAUUGAGAAAACUAACAGCCUAAUUUAUAACAAAACAAUUCACCAAAAAAAAUAUGAUGACCAUUGAACAACUGACAACCACUGAAUUACAGGUCCCUGGCUUGAGAGGGGUACAUACAGAAUGCAGUGGAGUAAAACAUAUUUGUGAGUGCUCUCCCUUAAGGGAGUUUGCUUCUCACUUUCAAAAUUAUUAACUUUUCAAAACACUAGUUUAUAUUGAUAGGGGAUAAAUAAAGGGAUCCAAAGAGCAAAAAAAAAAAAACAAAGGGCACUGUGCUUGUCUUCGAGAUAUUAGCCAUUGAAUUUUUGGCGGGAAACUAUUCUCUCUUGACUUUUCAUAGCUUUAUCAUUGACAAGUUUAGUUCUAACAAACUAUUAAAAAAUAAUUAAAAUUUUAUAAGAUUUUUACAGAUGGCUUAUCAUUAUACAUGUAAAUGAUUUACAAAAAGAAAAAUGGGAGUCAACGGGCAUAUUUUUUCAAGGCAUUCAAAUAGAUAAAACCAGAGGAUCCUGAAAAUCUGACAAAAAAUCCAAAACAUGACAAGCCAGCUUCCUUAAACUAGGACAGUGGUGUUACAGCAAACAUAGUUGCAAAGGGCUCAACUCAUCAGAUCAAUACAAAGCAGAAAAACAUUGUAACAAAAACUCGAGAAUGGCCGUGUUAGGGUAUUUAUACAUCCCCAACAACAGAAUGACACGCA
rnacentral:lncRNA from 1 species